GUCCACACCGUAAACGAUGAUUACUAGAUUUUGGUCGUAAGAUCAGAGUCCAAGCGAAAGUGUUUAGUAAUCCACCUGGGGAGUACGUCCGCAAGGAUGAAACUCAAAGGAAUUGACGGGGGCCCCGCACAAGCGGUGGAGCAUGUGGUUUAAUUCGAUGAUACGCGAGGAACCUUACCUGGGCUUGAAAGUUAGUGACCGAUCCUGAAAGGGAUUCUCCCGCAAGGGCACAAAACUAGGUGCUGCAUGGCUGUCGU
rnacentral:rRNA from 1 species